rnacentral:lncRNA from 1 species
AUACCACCUCAUAGUUUUGUGUAUAUAUAUAUAUAUAUAUAUAUAUAUAUAUAUAUAUUUAAUAUCUCGUAGUUUAAAAUAUAUUAAUUAAGUAUUCUAUAGUUUUUUUAUUAAUAUUUUUUUAUUAAUUUUUGUUAUUAAAUCAGUGAUAAAGUUAAAAUUAAAAAGUAUUAAAAUAAAUAUUUGAUAAAUCUAAAAAAAUAUAUAAAAUUUUUUUUAUAUAUAAUUUAACAAAAUAUUGAUGAAUAAGCCGACGAAAAAAAAAAAAACUAAAAUACUAAAUUGAUAUAUUUUAAAUUAUGGAAUACCAAAGUACAAAAAUAUAAAAUUAUGGGGAUGAUGUUUAAAAUUUA